GAGUUUGAUCCUGGCUCAGAUUGAACGCUGGCGGCAGGCCUAACACAUGCAAGUCGAACGGUAACAGGAAGAAGCUUGCUUCUUUGCUGACGAGUGGCGGACGGGUGAGUAAUGUCUGGGAAACUGCCUGAUGGAGGGGGAUAACUACUGGAAACGGUAGCUAAUACCGCAUAACGUCGCAAGACCAAAGAGGGGGACCUUCGGGCCUCUUGCCAUCGGAUGUGCCCAGAUGGGAUUAGCUAGUAGGUGGGGUAACGGCUCACCUAGGCGACGAUCCCUAGCUGGUCUGAGAGGAUGACCAGCCACACUGGAACUGAGACACGGUCCAGACUCCUACGGGAGGCAGCAGUGGGGAAUAUUGCACAAUGGGCGCAAGCCUGAUGCAGCCAUGCCGCGUGUAUGAAGAAGGCCUUCGGGUUGUAAAGUACUUUCAGCGGGGAGGAAGGGAGUAAAGUUAAUACCUUUGCUCAUUGACGUUACCCGCAGAAGAAGCA
rnacentral:rRNA from 1 species